GAGCUUAGGGCGAUUUGACUGCGACAUCUGUUACCCCAUUUAUCACCAGGGUUGAGUUGGCUGAUCUGGCUGGCUAGGUGGGUGUCCCCUUCCUCCCUCAAUGCUUCAUGUACCUCCCUCCGGAAGCUGCACGCUCGGUUGAAGAGAGCAACCUUCCCUGAUGGAGGAGGACCUGUCUUUGGUCAAGGGUAUAUGAGUAGCUGCGCUCCCCUGCUAGAACCUCCAAACAAACUCUCAAGAAAAGUAAAUAUUUUAUACUGGGUAAUAACACCACUGAUUUUGAUUUUGAAUUUUUCCAAAUCUUC
rnacentral:snRNA from 1 species